AACGGGUGAGUAAUACAUAAGUAACCUGCCCUAGACAGGGGGAUAACUAUUGGAAACGAUAGCUAAGACCGCAUAGGUACGGACACUGCAUGGUGACCGUAUUAAAAGUGCCUCAAAGCACUGGUAGAGGAUGGACUUAUGGCGCAUUAGCUGGUUGGCGGGGUAACGGCCCACCAAGGCGACGAUGCGUAGCCGACCUGAGAGGGUGACCGGCCACACUGGGACUGAGACACGGCCCAAACUCCUACGGGAGGCAGCAUG
rnacentral:rRNA from 1 species